UACGAAGGGGGCAAGCGUUGUUCGGAAUUACUGGGCGUAAAGGGAGUGUAGGCGGUUAUGUAAGAUAGUGGUGAAAUCCCAGAGCUUAACUUUGGAAUUGCCAUUAUGACUAUAUGACUAGAAUUACAGAGAGGAUAGUGGAAUACCCAGUGUAGAGGUGAAAUUCGUAGAUAUUGGGUAGAACACCAGUGGCGAAGGCGACUAUCUGGCUGUAUAUUGACGCUGAGGCUCGAAAGCAUGGGUAGCGAACA
rnacentral:rRNA from 1 species